UACGUAGGGGGCAAGCGUUGUCCGGAAUCAUUGGGCGUAAAGAGCGUGUAGGCGGCUCGGUAAGUCCGCUGUGAAAGUCCAGGGCUCAACCCUGGAAAGCCGGUGGAUACUGCCGGGCUAGAGUCCGGAAGAGGCGAGUGGAAUUCCUGGUGUAGCGGUGGAAUGCGCAGAUAUCAGGAGGAACACCAAUAGCGAAGGCAGCUCGCUGGGACGGUACUGACGCUGAGGUGCGAAAGCGUGGGGAGCGAACAGG
rnacentral:rRNA from 1 species